GAUGAAGAACGCAGCGAAAUGCGAUAAGUAGUGUGAAUUGCAGAAUUCAGUGAAUCAUCGAAUCUUUGAACGCACAUUGCGCCCCUUGGUAUUCCAUGGGGCAUGCCUGUUCGAGCGUCAUUUGUACCUUCAAGCUCUGCUUGGUGUUGGGUGAUUGUCUAUCUUUGUAGACUCGCCUUAAAGUCAUUGGCAGCCGGCAUAUUGGCCUGGGAGCGCAGCACAAGUCGCGCUUCUUGUCAUGAAUGUUGGCGUCCAGUAAGUCUACAUAUUUUGCUCUUGACCUCGGAUCAGGUAGGGAUACCCGCUGAACUUAAGCAUAUCAGUAAGCGGAGGA
rnacentral:misc_RNA from 1 species